rnacentral:miRNA from 1 species
AUAUGGACGAAGAGAUAGGUAAAU